rnacentral:tRNA from 1 species
GGUAAUGUGGCUUAGUGGUAGAAUGCUUGCCUAGCAUGCAUGAAGCCCUGGGUUCAAUUCCUCAGUACCA